rnacentral:lncRNA from 1 species
UAUAUAAUCUCUUAUAACCCUUUCCCAUGCCCUAUUUUCCAUCGUCUCCUGUUUGGUAAUCUAUCACUGAAGAACGAAUUCUUUGUCAAUCGCUUGAUUCGUCCUAUUACAGAUCGAUUUAGUGAUAUGUUUACGUUUCGUUUGUCUAUGUUUAGGUACAAAGAAGUUGGACUCGACACCAGCGUUUUGACUAGAGUUGAAUAUGGGAGUAGAAGUUCACGAGCUGGCGGCUAAAGGUCCAAUGCUACAGCCUACAGGUAAGUAAUUAAUAGAUUUCUUCAUUUCAUUAUUAGAGAGGUUCAUUUCUUUUCUCAUUAAUCAUGUUGACAAGAGGACAUCAUUGACUUACAUGUAUGAUUGUGGUAACUAACUGACUGAGAACAACUAGAGGUGAUCUCAAAG